AAGGCCCCAAGUCUGGCUCUUCUUCUGAUUGAAGUUUCGACUGCAUCAUUUCCUCCCUAUCAUCGCAAUAUUCUGUUUGUUUCUGCAUGGCGUCUUCUACAAGAGAGAUGUCUUGCAACUGCUCGCAAGCUUCACCAUUCAAGGUAAUGGUCUCCGUAGUCACUGUCUCAUUAGAUGAAAUAACAUAAUUGCUAUUAGGCAAUUUUUGGCCUUCUUCCUGUUGUUCACUUUGUGAAGUCACAUGAUUACAAGCUUCACGCUUUGUGCAACAAGUCUCUGCUACUACAAGCUCAGCUUCGGCUGAAGGUGAAUUAGCAACAUCUGAAGUCUCACUGACAAGACCAUCUCUAUCCACCUGGAGAUUGAGGCCCCUUUUAGAAGCUCUAUCAUAAGUGAUCACAUUUUCGGUAUCAUCUUUACAAAUCACCAAUAACCCAUUAUCUGUAGCUACAUUAGAAUUGAGCCCACGCUCACUGCUUUCUAAUGCAGCAAUUAUGCCAUUCCGCAUUUCAGAAUUCGAGAAGGCUUCUGGAUCAGACAUGACAGCAGAACAUGUCGUAUCUACUGAAGGCCCAGAGUUGACAACUGCAGUCGUGGUAGCAGUAGCUUCAUGAAAUUGAACUUCAUUGUGGUUUUCAGAAACCCCGUCAGGAUUGACCCC
rnacentral:lncRNA from 1 species